rnacentral:lncRNA from 1 species
UAUAAUUUUUAAUUAAUAAAAGAAGAAAAAACCCUUCUUUUCCUCCUCCCAACCAAAAUCAUUACUUAAGCCAAGUAAAACAACAAAAAAAGAGGGCUAAAAGGCAAAAUCUGACAGUACGUUGCAGCAAAGGUUCCGCUGGAAGUCACAAUUUCUGUACCCCAAACAUGCACUCAGGUUUUUCUUCUAUUUCCCAUUUUCAUUAUUCCAGUAACUUCCGCCGGCAGCCAUGACUCCAGUUUCAUCAAAGCUUUACACAGAUGAUGUAAGCCUAUUGAUGGUUCUGAUCUAUACAAAUCCGUGCUUUUGGAGCUCCAUGAAGAAUAUUGCCUUCACAUUCGAAGGUCUUAGAUUGGUUCUUUUUGGUUUUUCAGAUUUGGGGUUAAUAAGGGAGAUUGAAGAAAGUUAGUGGUUAUGUGGUGGUGUAAUAGUGGAGAUUUUUUAUUUUUGGAUUUGCUUAAUUGUGGAUAGUGAUGGAAGUUGUGUUUUUUCUGUCUUCUAGGGGAAAGAUGGAGAAAGUUUGGGGCAGAGGACGGCACAAGAUGUGGAGGAGAAAUUGGAGAAGGAGGAGGUUUAAAAAUUAGGAGGGGUCCAUAUUGAUUUUAGGAAGAAAAAAAAAAGAUAAAUUUAAUUUUAAAGAUCUUUACACGAUUAGAUCUGAGUAUAACGUACAAGAUUUGUCAUUUAAAAGAAUAUAUUUCUGCCAAGCAAAGCAAAGGUGUUUGUCUGGUCAUGUCAAGUUAAGAUAU